AUUGAACGCUGGCGGCAUGCCUUACACAUGCAAGUCGAACGGUAACGGGCCUUCGGGUGCCGACGAGUGGCGAACGGGUGAGUAAUACAUCGGAACGUGCCCGAUCGUGGGGGAUAACGAGGCGAAAGCUUUGCUAAUACCGCAUACGAUCUACGGAUGAAAGCAGGGGACCGCAAGGCCUUGCGCGGACGGAGCGGCCGAUGGCAGAUUAGGUAGUUGGUGGGAUAAAAGCUUACCAAGCCGACGAUCUGUAGCUGGUCUGAGAGGAUGAUCAGCCACACUGGGACUGAGACACGGCCCAGACUCCUACGGGAGGGAGCAGUGGGGAAUUUUGGACAAUGGGCGCAAGCCUGAUCCAGCCAUGCCGCGUGCAGGAUGAAGGCCUUCGGGUUGUAAACUGCUUUUGUACGGAACGAAAAGCCUUCUUUUAAUACAGGAGGGUCAUGACGGUACCGUAAGAAUAAGCACCGGCUAACUACGUG
rnacentral:rRNA from 1 species